UAAAGUAGGCCUGACUUCCAAACUGGAG
rnacentral:piRNA from 1 species